rnacentral:lncRNA from 1 species
CAUGGCCUUAGUUACUGUUUUGUUAAUAGCUAGAAUUACACCUUUAAAUAAAGUGUGAUCUAAUAAUCAUAUAUGUUGUUAUGAAACUUAACCCUCAAAGUACUAUUUAAAUACCUCUGUGUUUAAAUUUUGAAUGUAUCAUCCAAUCUUCUUCUUGCUUUGGGAUUCCAGAAAAGCAUGAGUCUGAAGAGGGGCUGCAGUCUGGAGAGGGACGGAGUCACGUGGCGAAACGCAGAAAUUCAAGCACUGACAGAAAAGAGGUGACUGGGAACUUCACAUGGUAUGAGUUUCUGGCCCAUGAAAAUGACGAGGAAGAGGAGGAUCGGCCAGAGCGUCCAGAAAGAGGCACCAAAGUCAAGCGGACUCUGAGUUCACUGAGGAACCGCAUGACCGGAUCCUUCAACAAAGACAAAGGUAAGAAUCGUGAGAAGGAGCAGCACAAAGAAAAGGGCAGAGAGAGAGAAAAGGAUAGAGAGAAAGAGUUGAGCGAGCGUGUGAAAGUGCGCCGGCGCAGCGUCAGCGGCCACCAGCUCGUGCCCGGAUCUUUCUCCAGCUGCGCCACAUGUACACUGUGCAGCAAAACCCUGCAGAGGAAGCAUGGCUUGCAGUGUUUGAGUGAGUCUCACACACACACAAACACAUAAACACCUGUGCACACGUGCAUCUGCCCUGCCACCAAUACUACACACGCCGUUUUUCUGCCACCACAGUGCAUGCCACUGUAAACACCAGGCUUUCUCGAUGUUAAGGGCCAUAUGCAUCUCUCACGGCCUUUUGUUUGAUUUCAAGCUCUGAUAAAGUGUCAUCUGCUUGACCAAGUGACUCGUUCUGUCAUGUGACGCGCUUGUGUUUUGGCUGUUUUGCAACGUGCUUUGUGCUGUGGGUCCGCGGACACAUGAACUAGUUUGAUCUUAUCAGGUUGCAUGGUGACUGUGGAUGUUUAAAAGAGGAUGCGCUGCGAUGUCAUUACAUUUUUUUUGCAUGUAGAACUAAAAAGGUUAUUUAAUUUUUUUAAUUAAUAUUCGGAUAAUUUUUUUAAUUGACAUGGGUGGAGAUUAGUACAAGUUUCUAGUACUAUUUCUGCCAAAGAAUUCAAAUAAAUGAAUAAAUAAAUACAUUUAAUUGCGACUUUUUAGCUCACAAUACUGAUUUUUUAUUUUUUUUCCCGUG